rnacentral:lncRNA from 1 species
CCCCUCACCACUCUGUUAUUAUAACAUGUAGGUGGAGCUCCUCCCACCUGUUAUUAUAUCAUGUAGGUGGAGCUCCUCCUCACCACUGUUAUUAUACAGUAGGGGAGCUCCUCCUCACCACUCUGUUAUAUACUUUAGGUGGAGCUCCCUCACCACUCUGUUAUUAUAUCAUGUAGGUGGAGCUCCUCCUCACCACUCUGUUAUAUACAACAUGUAGGUGGAGCUCCUCCUCACCACUGUUAUAUAUCAUGUAGGUGGAGCUCCUCCUCAUCACCUGUUAUUAUAACAUGUAGGUGGAGCUCCUCCUCACCACUGUUAUUAUAUCAUGUAGGGGGAGCUCCUCCUCACCACUCGUUAUUAUUAUAACAUGUAGGUGGAGCUCCUCCUCAUCACUCUGUUAUUAUAACAUGUAGGUGGAGCUCCUCCACCACGUUAUAUAACAUGUAGGUGGAGCUCCCCUCACCACUCUGUUAUUAUUAUAACAUGUAGGUGGAGUUCC